GUUCUCUGCUGAAUGAUUCUUCCAGAACAAUGAAACCCAUGUCCAGACCUACCCAUCUCCAUCUGGAUGGUUUUUCAUUCUUUGCCGUCGGGAUGGAUUACAAUGAGACGACGCCAAACAUCAGUGGUGCAUACAACAAGCAAAGUGGGAGGAUGCCAUCUCUUGCAGUACUAAGAUUCUAUGGUCGAGAAGCUCGGCGUCGACUAGAGUGGAGCUCUGCAUCCUCAUCUCUACAAGUAGUACAGAACCACAAUGGUUGGGCCGUCGAGCAGUGUUUUUGCUGGGUGUACCUUUGGCGACCAUGUUGUGGAGACAACACCGUUCGGCAUGAGUUUGGUUGUCAGCGAAGCUGCUCUGCCUUUGUCAUCGCUCACUCCUGCCCAGCGCCUCGGUUGGCCGCUUCUUCAUC